rnacentral:tRNA from 1 species
CGGGGCGUAGCUCAGUCUGGUAGAGCAUUCGGUUUGGGGCCGAAAGGUUCGCCGGUUCAAAUCCGGCCGCCCCGA